rfam:Oryza glumipatula chromosome 2, whole genome shotgun sequence.
UUAACUCGCAGCCAUAAGUUUUCGUGUCUAAUUUUUAUCAUCCGUUUUAUUUAAAUUUUUUAUAAUUAAUAUUUUUAUUGUUAUUAGAUGAUUAAACAUGAAUAUUACUUUACGUGUGACUUUAUUUUUUAUAAAAAAAUUAAAUAAGACGAACAAUUAAAUUUGGAUACGGAAACUAAUAGUUGCACUUAAA